rnacentral:rRNA from 1 species
GACGAACGCUGGCGGCGUGCCUAAUACAUGCAAGUCGAGCGCAGGAAAUCGACGGAACCCUUCGGGGGGAAGUCGACGGAAUGAGCGGCGGACGGGUGAGUAACACGUAAAGAACCUGCCCUCAGGUCUGGGAUAACCACGAGAAAUCGGGGCUAAUACCGGAUGGGUCAUCGGACCGCAUGGUCCGAGGAUGAAAGGCGCUUCGGCGUCGCCUGGGGAUGGCUUUGCGGUGCAUUAGCUAGUUGGUGGGGUAAUGGCCCACCAAGGCGACGAUGCAUAGCCGACCUGAGAGGGUGAUCGGCCACACUGGGACUGAGACACGGCCCAGACUCCUACGGGAGGCAGCAGUAGGGAAUCUUCCACAAUGGACGAAGGUCUGAUGGAGCAACGCCGCGUGAACGAUGAAGGCUUUCGGGUCGUAAAGUUCUGUUGUAAGGGAAGAACAAGUGCCGCAGGCAAUGGCGGCACCUUGACGGUACCUUGCGAGAAAGCCACGGCUAACUACGUGCCAGCCGCCGCGGUAA